rnacentral:piRNA from 1 species
AGAGAGUUUGUUCCGGAUGUAGGUU